rnacentral:lncRNA from 1 species
GCAAAAAUAGCUUCUCUUUACCUAAAAUAUAAAUAAAACAAGAAACGCAUAAUAUAUACAAAUAAAGCCGAAAACUCGGACGAACGAAGACCAAAACUCGAAGAAUUGAUAAGUAACAAUCAUGCAAAAUGAACACUUAUCACAGGACACCGUCAAGCUGCUUCAAAAAUAAAAGGAAAAGAAAAGAAUAGAAGCGGCUGAUUGGACCGAGGGAAAGAAGCGACGCAGUUUUAUCAUUAAAUAAAACAAAAAAAGAGAAAAGAAAUUGCGCAUCGGGUGUACCCAAAGAGAGAAAUGGAAAAGUUAAAGGAAAAUAAAAGAAUUUGAGAAGCUGGGAGAGGGGGACGCGAACGGCGCUGUUUCAGCCUUAAAUGGGCCAAAAGUAAAUGGAAAACAAAAUGCUGUAAAAAUAAAUCACAGUUCCAAAAUUUGAAGAUAAGUAGAAAGUUUUAGUGGUGAAUAACUAAAUUGGACUUAAAUACUAAUUUGAUUUAUGGUACAAUAUUUUGGUUGCUAAAACGAAAUUAUUUAUUCCAACUAUGCACACUGAAAGAAUCACUACUAUGAAUUUUUUCAAUUAAUUGAAAAAAUGAAAAAGAUGACGUGGCGCCUAAAGCGGCGCCACAUCAUAUUUUCUUUCUCCUUAUUUUUCUGUCAUUCCCCAUGUGAAACGGCACCGUUUUGUUUUCUUCUACCAAUCAGAUGCAGCCAUUAAUUUCUUUCCAUUUAAAUUUAGGGUGUCCGAUUGCAAUCGGCCAUUUUGGUGGGCCAGAUGUGCUUUCUUUUCAUUUUUUUUUUCUUUUUCUCUUACCACGUGGGCCCAGCUUUUCCUUUUUAUUUCUCAUCCUCUGCUAUAAUAGUAAUAUGUGGGCCCAUAAUUCCCUUUCUUGUCUCCUACCACCCACUUCUCCUCUACAGCAGCCACCCCUAGACUCCCCCUCCCAUAAUUAUUUUCUUAUUUAUUCUUUCUGUAUUUAUUUCUCUUUCAAUAUACUCCUUCUCAUGUUAUUCACCGUCUUCAAAUUUUUUCCUCGAUCUCCGGCGCCGCCUUUCUCAAAAGCUCUUGCACUACCGCCCUGCGAUAGCCAACCACGAGAGGGGCUCGCCGCUUCUAGCGUCGGCGAGCAUCAACGCCGCUCACAGGGCAAAGGCAAAAUCAUUGAGAAGUUGCUCAAAACCUUCAAAGGAAAGAGAAACGACUUCGAAUACAAAGGAGAAAAGGUGAAGGAAGAAAAAAUUUGAGCAAAAUUUGAAGAUAAGUUUAAUUAUUAAUCUGCUGCAAUACCUAUUGGAUUACUACCUGGGAACUUGAAGUGCAAUAAUGUUUUUCCGGAAGGGACAAUACAAGGGCGGCGGUGGGGCGCCAGAAGCUGGAUGUGGCAGUCAGAAUUUGUAGGCGCCGACCACCAGGUGGGCCUCAGCAUCGAUCGAAGAGGCGGUGGCCGUUGGCCGAGGCUGCGGUGGCGGGCAGCAGCCGCGGGCGACCAAGGAGGAGGAAGUUAGAGGGCUGGUGGAAACGACGUCGUUCUGCAGUGGCAGAAUAAAAGAAAAAAAAAUGAAGCACACGCGUCGCCGUCAAGCUUCUUUAAAAAUAAAGGGAAAAGAAAAGAUUUGGACAUGCUGAUUGGUGAGAGUGAAGCCAACGACGACGUUUCGGCAUUAGAUGGGCCAAAAGAAAAGGCAUGAAGAAAAAUGGUGGUCUUUUUUUCCUCUUUUAAUUUAUCUCUUUCUUAUCUCAAGCAAUCUGCCUCGGUCACACACACCGACCCUUUUUCCGCGUACUCGAGUGGAGAAAACAUCUCAUCUCUCUCCGACGGCGUCACCGCCGUUGUUCUCAAAAGCUCUUACACCACCGCCUCGUCGAACGCCGAACAGAAGUGGCGCUCGAGAAGGUCUCGCCACUUCUGGCGUCGACAGCCAUCGAUGCUGCCUCUUCUACCACCUACGAUGACCCCAACCUCGCCUCCGUCCCGGCAUCCGACGCGGACGAUGUCAAGGUUUCUGAUGCAUUAAACAAUUUCUUUUAUGAAUAUUUUCGUGUUAUUACUUGAUUAGUUAUUCACCACUAUUAUUCUUCCAAAAAGGAAUUCCC